UAGAUUUUUAUUAAGGGCUCAUAGUUUUGUUAGGGAUAAAUUAUGGAAAUUGUGUAUAAGCUAGCAAGUACCGAAGCUUAAGAAAUGUGUUAUUUAGUACUUAGUUAAAUUCAGGAGUUCUUAAAAAGAGAUUCGACCUUAGGAGAAAAAUGCAUUCUACUGGCUAAAAUUAAGAAAUUCUGUAAAGAACCUUAACCCACAGUCUUCCCCUGUUAAAAUGAAAGCAAAAAAGGACAAAAAAUUCUUUCAAGACUUAUUAACUUUACUCAAUUCUUUGACUACUUAAAGAACCAUGGGGCUGAAGAAGAAGAUCAAAUUAGGGCUACUAAUUGCUUAAAUUCCCUCCGACAGUGCUAAGUGAAAAGAGUUACUAAAAAUAAAAACAGAUGAUAACAAUAGAGUACAUUUAAUUUUCCGCGAAGGUUCCUCAUGCAAUUUUUUUGGUGCGUACCUGAGCUUGCAUGAGGAUAAACGGGCCCGUCCCACAUUCGACUUCUGUUCAGAACGCAGAUGCUACGCUGGAAACAUGAGCCGCAGAAGCUGAUGCAGCGCGAGAGAAUGGACUUUUGUGUUUAUAGCAAGACUUAUCAUCUACUCGGUGUCUCAUUCAAGUCUACAACUUCCCGGAUCAAAGGUAGCAUUCACAACACGAUAAUUCUUCCAGAUCCGCAAGGCCUUAAGGCAUUGGGUCUUUUCUCUGCCUGAGUGAUCGGGGCCUGCAGACCUUGAUGCCUUUAUUAUAUACAGCCCUUCAGCUGUUUAAUGUGGGGCUUUAAUUGCUGGUGUUCCCCUUAGAAUAGUCGGUUCGGAAUCCAAAACUACCGAAUACCCGAUGCACCCGGACUGCGCAAUGGGAGGGCCGAAGUGUCCAACGCACACAGAGAAAACGGGACAAUAGACGUGUUAAUUAUCGUCAUUACAAUAAAUAUUCAUUUUCCGUAGGUAAUUGAGGUUCUUUAAGUACUUUUUUUUCGAUUACCUACCCUUCCUUCUUGAAUUGGGCUCAAAGGAAUUACCGAGACGAACCUAUUAACAUCUCUGGUCUUAAGGAAGACCCCUGCUCUCCUCACCUUUUCUCUUUUAAAUGAGGCAAAACAAGGCUGCUAAGCGUCAUGAAGGACGCCAAGUUGUUUGUCUGGAAAGAUGCUUAAUAUCUGCAGCUUGAGUCACCAUCGUUUACUGAUGUAAGAGGUCAGUUACAAACCAUGAUAGAAGUUGAGGGAGUUGAAGACACUGGUAUGCGAAGGUCGACGCUUUCUUCGAGUGCUCUUGGCCUUUUGACCCGUUGCAGAAAAACCAACCUAUACAGAUGGUGUCAUUUCCAGGAGAACACACAUUUCAAAUAUUGUAAAAGUUAUGUGGUCG